rnacentral:tRNA from 1 species
GGGAAUGUGGCUUAUUGGAAGAGUGCUUGCCUAGCAUGCAGGAAGCCCUGGGUUCGAUUCCUCAGUACCA